rnacentral:rRNA from 1 species
GACGAACGCUGGCGGCGUGCUUAACACAUGCAAGUCGAGCGGUAAGGCCCUUUCGGGGGUACGACGAGCGGCGAACGGGUAGGAGUAACACGUGGGUGGACCUCGCCCUCCAGUUCUUGGGAGUAAAGCCUCGGGAAACCGGGGUACUAAUACUGGAUAUGACCUCAUGACGCAUGUUGUGGGGUGGAAAGCCUUGUGCGACUGAGGAUGGGCCCGCGGCCUAUCAGCUUGUUGGUGGGGUGAGGCCUACCAAGGCGACGACGGGUAGCCGG